rnacentral:rRNA from 1 species
UUAAACAUUAUUAAUUAAGUAGUAAAGAAAUUUCCGAAACUUAAAAAAUUUGGCGGUGUUUUAAAUAAUUGGAGGAAUCUGUUAAUUAAAUGAUAUUCCACAACAAAUCUCCCCUUACUUUUGUUUGUAUAUCGUCAUUCACAGACAAUAUUUAAAAAUAAUAGUCACGAUUAAUAAAAUUUAAUAAAUUAGAUCAAGGUGCAGCAUAGUAAGGUUAUAAUGGAUUACAAUAUUAUUAAAAUACUUACGGAUAAGAAAAAGAAAUUUUCUUUGAAGGAGGAUUCAAAAGUAAUUUGAAAAUAAAAUGUUUUUUUGAAUAAUAAUUUAAAACAUGC